rnacentral:rRNA from 1 species
AUGAGAGCGCUCGCGGUGGUAGCCAUGCUAGCCACGGCGGCCAUGGCUAUCGCAUGUGCACGCGCUGCACAGUGCGGCUCGCAGGCUGGCGGGGCGACCUGCCCAAACUGCCUCUGCUGCAGCCAGUUUGGCUGGUGUGGCUCCACACCGGAAUACUGCGGCGAUGGUUGCCAGAGCCAUUGCUCUGGCUGCGGUAGCACGCCUGUCACGCCCUACCCCUUCGGUGGUGUGUCCUCCAUCGUCUCGCCCUCCCUUUUUAACCAAAUUCUCCUCCACCGUAAUGACCCAGCAUGCCAGGCCAAGGGCUUCUACACCUAUGAUGCCUUCAUCGCUGCCGCCACUGCCUUCCCUGGCUUUGGCACCACUGGUAGCAUCGCCAUCCGGAAGCGCGAGAUAGCUGCCUUCCUAGCGCAGACCUCCCAUGAGACCACUGGCGGCUACUGCACCCCAAGCGAGCAGUGGCCAUGCGCCCCUGGAAGGCUCUACUAUGGCCGCGGGCCCAUCCAGCUAACUCACAACUACAACUACGGGCAGGCAGGCCGGGCCAUUGGGGCCGACCUGUUGGGCAACCCGAACUUGGUGGUCGUGAACCCAACCGUGUCGUUUGAGACGGCAAUGUGGUUCUGGAUGACGGAGCAACCGCCCAAGCCUUCGAGCCAUGCAGUGAUCACAGGACAAUGGAACCCGUCGGCGACGGACCGUGCUGCAGGGCGAGUGCCUGGGUUCGGCGUGAUCACCAACAUCAUCAAUGGCGGGAUGGAGUGCUUUCACGGGUAUGAUGAACGUGUUCAGGACCGAAUCGGAUUUUACAAACGCUACUGCAAAAUCUUUGGUAUCAGCUACGGUGACAACCUGGACUGCUACAAACAGAGGCCCUUUGCUUAA